AACGAACGCCGGCGGCAGGCCUAACACAUGCAAGUCGAACGAUAUAGUGGCAGACGGGUGAGUAACGCGUGGGAACGUACCUUUCACUACGGAAUAGCUCUGGGAAACUGGUGGUAAUACCGUAUACGCCCUCCGGGGGAAAGAUUUAUCGGUGAAAGAUCGGCCCGCGUUGGAUUAGCUAGUUGGUGAGGUAAUGGCUCACAAAGGCGACGAUCCAUAGCUGGUCUGAGAGGAUGAUCAGCCACACUGGGACUGAGACACGGCCCAGACUCCUNACGGGAGGCAGCAGUGGGGAAUCUUGCACAAUGGGCGAAAGCCUGAUGCAGCCAUGCCGCGUGAAUGAUGAAGGCCUUAGGGUUGUAAAAUUCUUUCGUCAGGGAUGAUAAUGACCGUACCUGAAGAAGAAGCCCCGCUAACUU
rnacentral:rRNA from 1 species